rnacentral:hammerhead_ribozyme from 1 species
AUCCAACUGUCGAGUCCCAAAUAGAACGGAACGUGAGUACUGGAU